AGAGCCGGUGAAAGAGAAAACCAAAACGGCUAAGAAAGAGCCUGCAGCUGUGCAACAGAAGAGGAGAUCAUCCUCUGAAAAGACAGAAGCGUCACCUGUCAAGAGCAAAGCCAAGACAUCUACUUCCAAGAAAGAUCCAGAUCCAGAACCACGUCCACAGCCGCUCAGACUGAGAACGAGACUAGAAACCAUCAAGAGGGCGAAUGUCACGUCUCAGGCCAAAGAGGAGAAACCUGCCAGGUCUUCGUCUGAACCAGCUAAGACAAGAUCAAAAUCAGUGGCAGAUAAGAAAAGCAAAGCUGAAAAGGCUGAAAAGAAAUCUGCAAAAGAGGC